rnacentral:lncRNA from 1 species
AGAUUUGUCAUAAUAAUGUUUACUAACAUGAACUAGAUCAGUAGAGCAAGACACAAACAGAAAAAAACAAAACACAAAUUGAUCAAGGUCAUCCGAACUCUCCAACGAACAAUGCAAGACUACAGACAGAGGAUGCAUAGGAUCGGAAUCGUUAUCUGGUGACAAAAUGACAACUGAUGGCAGAUUAACUUCAGGAUGAAGCAGAUAAGAAAGGAUUUGUCUAUCCAAAAAUAUGUAUAGAAGUAAGAGAGAAAAUGUGGGUCUUUGUGCCAAUGGGUGUCAGUUUCUACGGAGGAAGAAAAAGAUGUCAAAGAUUCUCUCUAAAUUCUUGGUACGGUAGUUCUAAUCUUUAGGAACAUUCAUGUUUGCUAAGUAUGAGCAUAGAGAAAAUAGAAUAGUUCUAUUUUCUCUAUGGUAUGAGCGUGGAGGUAUAAUAGGGUGCAAAUGAUAUGCAAGGAAGUAGGGUUCAUCUGAGCAUGUCUUGAGUGAUUUUGCUACUUUCAUUACCAGGUUCACUUAGAUCAUGUUGUGAUAUUUAUUUCACUUUAGUAAUGUACAAAGGAUAUGAUACUUUGAAAUGAGUAAUCUGCAAAUGAGAGGAUGUAUGAACUUAAGUAGGUGAACCCUGCUUAUGAGAAACUAAGGUAAACUGAACUUGGUCACUGCGUGGUAUAUGUAACAGUAGGCCUACUCCAUCAUUAUGUGGGCCCUUUGAGCAUUUCUAUACAGUGAAAAUAAUCAUAUAUUUAUUACUAUUUAUCAUCAUGGCAGAUUUAGGGAGGCGUGCCACCAAGUUUUACCACUGCCGUCUUUUAUUUCUUAUUAGAAUAAAAUACAAAAUUUACAUACAAAUACUAAAAAUGUGGCAAUAUUUUGUGACACUGAACACAAGUCAUACAAUUAUUGGAUACUGGGUACUUAUUAUUUUUGUUAAAAUCUUUCAUUCCCGGGUUUAAAUGGUAAGUGUAGUUAGAACAGAAAUUGGAGAAGCACUGGAUGUAAAUAAUUUUUCAUGAAGGAUCAGGUAAGGAAAGGUAAAAUGUUCACCUGUGUAAGUUAUGUGUGUUGUUUACAUAAAGGUAUUAUAAUGCUGCAAUAUCAAUUGACACUUCUGUACUUAAAGUGUUGUAUCAUUGCAUGAUCUUAAUACUUGAAUUUAGUUUAAAUUUGAUUCAAGAUAAAAGAUUAACAGUGGAUUAGGCUAACCCAAAGAAGUAUUGUUUGUUAAUCCUGGUAAUAAUGGAUUUUACUUUAGUUUAUCCUAUCUUGGAAAACUUUUUUUUUUAAAUAAAUGUUACAUAUGUUUACAAAAAUGUUGAGUAAUGUAGAUUUGUGUCAUUUCAAUAUUGUUAAAUAAAUAGAGAAAAGUAAAUAAUAUGAUAGCCUAUGUGCUUUAGUUCCAUUCCCCAUUGUUUAGAUGAGAGAUGAUGUAACAUCUGUGGGCUCUUACAAAACACAUUUUUAAAUACAUUAUGUUAUGUUAUAUUGUCUAUAACUUAUAAACAAAUGAUGUGUGUAUUUAAGUUUAUAAAAGCAUAGAGAAAAUGGAACAGUUUUCUCUAUGAUAAAAGUAUGCUUACGUACAUAACAUUUAAAAGACUGAUGUGGAGAAAUCAUCUACGUUGCUAACAGAGUCACUAUUCCCAGGUUUUCAUUGAUUCGACUUCAAAACUUUUUUAGAACUUAAUUAAGAUGGGUGAUUAUUUACCUAUUGGUUCAAGAAAAUGAACAUUGUCUGUGUUUAAUCCAACUUAAUUUUGUCACUUGCAGCAUGGAGCUACUUUUUACUUUGUUACUUUGUGAAAUAUAUUCCACAUUUUUUUUACCAUUAAAUGUGGGCUGUAAGCUUAGAAGGUUAUGCAGAACCAUUAGUGAGAUGUGGGUUACCUUUAUUCAUGUUUCUUCAAGGAGGUAUAAAUCGCGUUGGUUCCCGCCAAAUUAUUGUUGUGUUACGUACACCGAAAGCCCAUGAUUUACCUCAUAAUACUUUUCCAAGAUCCAUAACAGAAGGAGGAACUGGAACAAAGAAUUUGCUCCAAACUCAUGUCUGGCCCUCCCGCUGGGAAUUUAGACCGCUUUGGGGCAAGCGCAAUCGUUUGCCGAUAUCAAUAAUUCAUUACAAAAGCAAAUCCGUCCGAAGCGUGCACCUGAAGUAUAGUUUCGUAACGUGUGACCCAGACAACUUGUCGGGUCAAGGAAACUACUGUAUACAAGAAUUUUCGCGCCAAAACAAGAUCAUUGUAGACUAUCGAUUUCGGCCUUAACAACGGCGGGUAAAGGGCAGGUACUUGGAAUGUUGAGUAUUCGCUUUGGUGUAUAGGUUUACCGGCUCAACCUACUUCAUGCUUUGAAUUCCGUGGGAAUCUAUUUAAUCCAUGUUUUGAAAAGACAGCGCGGUGGCGUCUCCUGACAAGACUUAACGACGAAGCGGGAAAAACGAAAUGCUUGUAAUGCGUAAAUCCGUUGUCACCACACCUGAAUUAUUUAGUAAGUUCUUGCACGGGCCCAACUGCAGACUCGAUUGAAUGCAAUCGCAAUAAAUAUUAUAACGUCCGAGGCGAACGUUUUAGUUUUGGUUGAUGGUUUAUAAACGCAGACAUUUUUAAAUCAAUUUCAUUUGCCUCAGAAUUAUCAGUCUGUCACCGGAUGACAUCUGUUGAGCCCGACUGCCUUCCUGCUCUGUCACGGGCAAUCAGGCGAUGCUUUGCUGCUUCAAAUUGAAGAGUAAGUUCAAAGUUAAAUCUGACCCACUUUCCGUGACGGUGACGGGAAUUAAAGAAAACUUUCUCAUCAGGCUGCGUUAAGCCAGAUCCCAGGGACGGUCCGCGUAGUUGUGCUUCUCAAUUAUCUACUCGUGCCACAGUAUCCCUUACAAAAUCAAUACUUUCCGAAAAGAAAGCUAACCAGCAACAUAAAAUACGCAGUCCCCUGUGUACCAUGAGUAACUUUGCUCGAAACCAUGGCGAUGACGAUUGGGAGGUAGUACGUUUUAAUUCACACCAUUUUUGGAAAUGUUGAAGGGGAUGAGUAAUAUGGCAGUGACGGAUCGAUUGAACGCUGUUAGCCAUAUCAUCCGAAAUGUCAACGUAUUAUCAUCCUUCUUCAUUAACUCGCCCACAACACGUCUACUAAAUGAUCCGUACCACCAAGAAAUCACAUAAUUAUUAUUUUCAUUCGAACGCUGACCAGUAGCGUGCAUGAAUAGGCCAGGCGAGUUCCAAACUUUUUCUCAACAAACUGCCAAUCACGUACCUAAGGCUAGGAAAUGAUAGUAGGCCUGUAUGGUUUUAGAACCGUAAUCAUGAUUCACAAUUGAACU